AAAAAAUGUCUUUAGCUUUGAAUUUUUAGUUUUAAUGUUUUUGGUAACCAGAUCUGUAGUUCUUCCAGGCCUCCAACAGAUGGCGAUCUCUGACUAUAUUGAACUUCCACUAAUUCCAGUAACUUCCUCAUCCGCACUAUGAACUUUCUGGAACCGUGCAGACCUGUUCCAGGUCUGUUCUCACCAAACCUGUUUUCAGCAGAAAACAAAAAGCAAAAACAUCUAAAGACUGAAGCAUUUGAAAUGGCUGCUUCACCUGAUACUUCCAGCUGAGGAACCGGUUUUGUGGGACCAACAACAAGCAGAAACGUCGGCAGAGUGAAGCUAAAGAAAUGGCUGCUUGAGCUGAUAUUCCCAACUCAGGAACAAGUUUUGUGGAACAAACAAAAAGCAGAAACCUUGACAGAGUGAAUCUAACGAAAUGGCUGCUUCAGCUGAUAUUUACAACUCAGGUCUGUGACAUUUUCAUAA